AAAGUCGUAACAAGGUCUCCGUAGGUGAACCUGCGGAGGGAUCAUUAACACGUUUCUUAUAACGUUUCCAACCAACCCGUGAAUUUCUUAAAUUUAUACCCCGACCUGAGAGUGAGAGAAUCCUGUUUGAAUAUUGCUUAGUGAUUGGGCAUUUAGCUUGCUAAAUGCGAGUGAUAUUCAAGCUGAGAAAGCAAUUUAUUGACUUUCUAAGGCCUCUCUCUUUCAGGCUAAUAUUUACCAUUACUUUCCUUCAUUUCACUGGAAGUAAUGGCAACAAACCCCUUUCACCACUUUAUAACCACUUGACUGAUACAUUUUUUUGUUUUCUUUUUAUUAAGAGAGCAAAGAAAGAAUAUAAUCAAAAUAUCUAAGCACAACUCUUAGCAACGGAUAUCUUGGUUCUC
rnacentral:misc_RNA from 1 species